AUACUUACUUGGCACGGAAGAUACCAUGAUCAGGAAGGAGGUCUUCCCAGGGCGAGGCUUAUCCAUUGCACUCCGAAUGUGCUGACCCCUGUGAUUUCCCCAAAUGUGGGAAACUCGACUGCAUAAUUUGUGGUAGUGGGGGACUGCAUUCACGCUCUCCCCUG
rnacentral:snRNA from 1 species